GCACAGACUACACACACAUGCAAGAUGAACCUGUGGCUUAGCUCAGUUAUUUACAUCUGCUUAUCAGGUAAUAAAGAAAGAAAACUGUACAAAAAAAUGUUGUCUGUGAGGUAAACAGUGAUCUGUAAUUUGAUAUUUUUAUAAAAAUGCUUGAAUUUGAAUUGCAUUGUUUUAGGAAAAGAUGAGUUUGACAUUUUAUUUAUUAUUUUAUAUUUCUUCCAGGGCUAUCUAUGGCAGAUGAGGUCAUACAAGCAGUCUCUGAGGAAACAGUCCUAAGUGGGGCAGAUAUUACAUUAAAUUGCUCUUACAAAACUACAGACACCGAUCCAUAUCUUUUCUGGUAUGUGCAAAAAUAUGGAAAGUCCCCUCAAUCAAUUAUAAGGAGAGCAUCAUUUAUGAAUGAUGAGAGUGAACCGUUCACAAACUAUAAAUCUAGACUGGACAAAGAGACCACCUCCAUCUACCUGAAGAUUUCUGAUGUCACAGUGUCUGACUCUGGGGUGUAUUAUUGUGCUCUGA